rnacentral:rRNA from 1 species
AGUUGUGGAAAGUUUUUUCGGUGCAAGAUGAGCUCGCGGCCUAUCAGCUUGUUGGUGGGGUAAUGGCCGUGGCCAAGGCGUCGACGGGUAGCCGGCCUGAAGGGUGUACGGCCACAUUGGGACUGAGAUACGGCCCAGACUCCUACGGGAGGCAGCAGUGGGGAAUAUUGCACAAUGGGCGGAAGCCUGAUGCAGCGACGCCGCGUGGGGGAUGAAGGCCUUCGGGUUGUAAACUCCUUUCGACAGGGACGAAGCGUAAGUGACGGUACCUGUAUAAGAAGCACCGGCUAACUACGUGCCAGCAGCCGCGGUAAUACGUAGGGUGCGAGCGUUGUCCGGAAUUACUGGGCGUAAAGAGCUCGUAGGUGGUUUGUCGCGUCGUCUGUGAAAUUCCGGGGCUUAACUCCGGGCGUGCAGGCGAUACGGGCUGACUUGAGUGCUGUAGGGGAGACUGGAAUUCCUGGUGUAGCGGUGAAAUGCGCAGAUAUCAGGAGGAACACCGAUGGCGAAGGCAGGUCUCUGGGCAGUAACUGACGCUGAGGAGCGAAAGCAUGGGUAGCGAACAGGAUUAGAUACCCUGGUAGUCCAUGCCGUAAACGGUGGGCGCUAGGUGUAGGGGGCUUCCACGUCUUCUGUGCCGUAGCUAGCGCAUUAAGCGCCCCGCCUGGGGAUCA